GACGAACCGAGCGAACGUUGUUCGGAAUCACUGGGCUUAAAGGGCUCGUAGGCGGCCAACUAAGUCGGAUGUGAAAUCCCCAGGCUUAACCUGGGAACUGCAUCCGAUACUGGAUGGCUUGAAUCCGGGAGAGGGAUGCAGAAUUCCAGGUGUAGCGGUGAAAUGCGUAGAUAUCUGGAGGAAUACCGGUGGCGAAGGCGGCAUCCUGGACCGGCAUUGACGCUGAGGAGCGAAAGCUAGGGGAGCAAACGGG
rnacentral:rRNA from 1 species